GACGAACGCUGGCGGCGUGCCUAAUACAUGCAAGUAGAACGCUGAAGGAGGAGCUUGCUUCUCUGGAUGAGUUGCGAACGGGUGAGUAACGCGUAGGUAACCUGCCUUGUAGCGGGGGAUAACUAUUGGAAACGAUAGCUAAUACCGCAUAAGAGUAGAUGUUGCAUGACAUUUGCUUAAAAGGUGCAAUUGCAUCACUACCAGAUGGACCUGCGUUGUAUUAGCUAGUUGGUGGGGUAACGGCUCACCAAGGCGACGAUACAUAGCCGACCUGAGAGGGUGAUAGGCCAAGCUGGGACUGAGACACGGCCCAGACCCCUACGGGAGGCAGCAGUAGGGAAUCUUCGGCAAUGGACGGAAGUCUGAACGAGCAACGCCGCGUGAGUGAAGAAGGUUUUCGGAUCGUAAAGCUCUGUUGUAAGAGAAGAACGAGUGUGAGAGUUGAAAGUUCACACUGUGACGGUAUCUUACCAGAAAGGGACGGCUAACUACGUG
rnacentral:rRNA from 1 species